rnacentral:rRNA from 1 species
GAACCAGUACCGUGAGGGAAAGGUGAAAAGCACCCCGACGAGGGGAGUGAAACAGUACCUGAAACCGAACGCCUACAAUCAGUUGGAGGGGCUUUACGCCCUGACAGCGUACCUUUUGUAUAAUGGGUCAUCGACUUGGUCUCACAAGCAAGCUUAAGCCGUUAGGUGUAGGCGCAGCGAAAGCGAGUCUUAAUAGGGCGUUGAGUUUGUGGGAUCAGACCCGAAACCGAGUGAUCUAGGCAUGACCAGGAUGAAGGUAAGGUAACACUUACUGGAGGUCCGAACCCACACCUGUUGAAAAAGGUCGGGAUGAGUUGUGCCUAGGGGUGAAAGGCCAAUCAAACUCGGAGAUAGCUGGUUCUCUGCGAAAUCUAUUUAGGUAGAGCGUCGCGAUUUAUACCCUCGGGGGUAGAGCACUGGAUGGGCUAGGGGGACUCACCGUCUUACCAAACCUAACCAAACUCCGAAUACCGAGGAGU